AGCGAGCAGCAAACCCUGACUGACAGUGGGGGAGUUCCCUGCUGCCUUCAAGCCCAGACUAGCCGCCGCUCGCUGUCCCACCUCUCGUCUCGCCUUCGCUGCUGCUUCCUUCAGGUAUUCGUGCCGCAGACCUCCAUGCGUCCACACGCACGCACCAGCAGGUCUGUAGAUUCAGGUAGCGUCUCCACCCUCACCGGUGCGUCUGUCGGCCUCGGAGCUGUAACAUUCCUGCAGCCUCUCGCUUCGCUGUUCAGACAUGUCGCUCUACAGCUUUGGCCUGGACCCGCUGUGCUGCCAUGCCUGGAACAAGGACAGGACGCAGAUUGCAAUCAGUCCUAACAACAACGCGGUGAAUGUCUAUGAAAAGAAAGGAGGCAAAGACUGGGUGAAGAUCCAUGAGCUGACUGAGCACAGCGGUCGGAUCACAGGAAUCGACUGGGCCCCGGAGUCAAACCGCAUCGUGACGUGCGCCUGCGACCGCAACGCGUACGUGUGGACCCUGAAGGACGGCGCCUGGAAGCCCACCCUGGUUCUGGUGCGGAUCAACCGGGCCGCCACCUGCGUCAAAUGGUCGCCGAUGGAGAACAAGUUCGCCCUGGGCAGCGGAGCCCGACUCAUCUCCGUGUGUUACUUUGAGAAGGAGAACGACUGGUGGCUGAGUAAACACAUCAAGAAGCCCAUCUGUUCUACGGUUCUGAGUCUGGACUGGCAUCCAAACAACAUCCUGCUGGCAGCCGGGUCUGCAGACCUUCACUGCAGGGUUUUCUCCACCUACAUCAAGGACAUCGAGGACAAACCCGGGCCCACGGCCUGGGGCUCCAAGAUGCCCUUUGGGGAGGUGCUGCACGAGCACAAGGACUGCGGCGGCUGGGUGCACAGCGUCUCCUUCUCCCCCAGCGGAGACCAGCUGGCCUGGGUGGCCCACAACAGCAGCCUGACGGUGGUGGACGCGGCGCGUGGGAAGGAGGUGACCCAGCUGACCACGGAGCAUCUGCCCCUGCUCAGCGUGCUGCACGUGAGCCCCACGGAGCUGGUUGCUGCGGGUCAUGACUGCUGUCCUUACCAGUUUUCAUAUAAAGGUCCUGGAGCUCUGCAGUUGGUAAAGAAGCUGGAUGUUCCCAAGCAGAGCUCCAAAGGCAGCAUGUCAGCCAUGCAACACUUCCUCAACCUGGACAAGAAGGCUACGGAGGAAGACGACAACGAGCUGGGCACCCUUCACCAGAACAGCAUCACGUAGGUUCAACAUCUGGACCCACACGGAGCCUGAAAGCCGACGCCCUGAGCAACAUCAUUAUAGAUUCGGCUCGUAUUGAGCGUGCUUCCCUUCAGACAGUUUGGUCUGUAAAAAGGAGUUGUGCUGUGCUGGGUGGAUGGGAUGGAACUCCAGGCCUCCUACCCUCAGUCUGCUGCGACACCUGGUGGCUGAACGGUGGCAGCUGCUCGGAUGGUUUUUAGCCUGGUUCAAUCUGACUAAGCACAGAAUGCUUUUACAUGUAGCAUGGUACACGUUCCUUUUGUGAAAGUUUUAUCUGUCUCUGCAGGCAGUUGUGUGUAGUUUCUGGGUCGAAAGACAAAGUGGAGAAGUACAGCAGCGUGGGCCUGGACGGAGUCAUGGUGAUCUGGAGUUUUAAGCAUUGACUCGGCAUUGACCUUGAGAAGUAAAAUGGCCAAGACGUGUUAAACCUACGGUGUAAAUAAAAAACAUUGGCCCUCAAA